rfam:Triticum aestivum genome assembly, contig: Triticum_aestivum_CS42_TGACv1_scaffold_273839_3DS
GGUUUAGAGGUGGAGCUCCUAUCAUUCCAAUGAAGGGUCUACCGAAGGGUUUGUGCAGCUGCUUGUUCAUGGUUCCCACUAUCCUAUCUCCAUUAGAAUACGAGGAGAUAGGCUUGUGGUUUGCAUGACCGAGGAGCCGCUUCGAUCCCUCGCUGACCGCUGUUUGGAUUGAAGGGAGCUCUGCAUCUUGAUCUA